GCGCUUGCAUUGGCAACACAUAUUCUAAAAUUGGAACAAUACAGAGAAGAUCAGCAUGCCCAUGUGUAAGGAUAACAUGCAAAUUUGUGAAAGCUCCAUAUAUUUU
ensembl:snRNA U6 U6 spliceosomal RNA